AUGGGCCAAAAUAUUUGUUAUGGGCUGCUACAAGUUGGACCUCGCGACUGCCUUCCCCUCCCCUCUAUUAUGGCUGCAGCAAACAGAGUUUGCUUAAAAUUAGUCCCACCCUGCUCUUUUAAAUCAAAUCCUAGCAACUUAUAUACCUUCGGAGUUGUGGGAAUCAACAAGCCAGGAAAAGAGGGUGAGAUAUAUGUGCGCCUUGGUGAUUCAACAAGAGGCAAUGGAAAUCAACAGAGGAACGAAUCGAGGUGUACGGCGAAGGAAACCUCCUCGUCCAGAGGAAGAAAUUGGGACAAGGUUCGGGGUGGUAGCACCUCUACGGUGGCGCCAUGGCCUGUUGGCUGCUGGCGAAGGGAAGGGCGAUGUGUGUGUGUGGGUGAGCGGAAUCAGGCAGUGGUGAGGCGCGAGGCAAGGGGGCGGCGGCUAUGCCGUCUCCAUGGCACAAGCAUGGCGAGGCGAAGGGGGCGCGCGAGGAGGCGCAGGGCGCAGCAGGAGAGGAGGAAGCGGCGGAUGGCACAGCGGCUUGUGCUCGCCAGCAACGGGCCCAGCUAG
rnacentral:rRNA from 1 species